AUGGGCCAUACCACCCUGAACACGCCUGAUCUCGUCUUAUCUCAGAAACUAAGCAGGGUCGGGCCUGGUUAGUACUUGGAUGGGAGAUCAUUAAAACAUUUCAACCUAGAGGUAAGCCUGAACUUAAGGCCCAGA
ensembl:rRNA 5S_rRNA 5S ribosomal RNA